CCUACGGGAGGCAGCAGUCGAGAAUCAUUCACAAUGGGGGAAACCCUGAUGGUGCGACGCCGCGUGGGGGAAUGAAGGUCUUCGGAUUGUAAACCCCUGUCAUGUGGGAGCAAAUUAAAAAGAUAGGACCAGAAGAGGAAGAGAAGGCUAACUCUGUGCCAGCAGCCGCGGUAAUACAGAGGUCUCAAGUGUGGUUCGGAAUCACUGGGCGUAAAGCGUGCGUAGGCUGUUUCGUAAGUCGUGUGUGAAAGGCGCGGGCUGAACCCGGGGACGGAAAAUGAUAGUGCGAGACUAGAGUAAAGGAGGGGGAGGCGGAAUUCUCGGUGUAGCAGUGAAAUGCGUAGAUAUCGAGAGGAACACUCGUGGCGAAGGCGGGUUCCUGGACAUUAACUGACGCUGAGGCACGAAGGCGAGGGGAGCGAUAGGGAUUAGAUACCCGAGUAGUC
rnacentral:rRNA from 1 species